rnacentral:tRNA from 1 species
GGGGGGAUGCCCGAGCGGCCAAAGGGGGCGGGCUGUAAACCCGUUGCGUUUACGCUACACUGGUUCGAAUCCAGUUCCCCCCACCA